rnacentral:snRNA from 1 species
AUACUUACCUGGAAGGGGAGAUACCAUGAUCAGGAAGGUGGUUUUCCCAGGAUGAUGCUUAUCCAUUGCGCUCCGGAUGUGCUGACAUCUGCGAUUUCACCAACUGUGGGGGAACCUGACUGAAUCAUUCGUAGUAGUGCGGGGCUGUGUGCACGCCUCUCGGC